rnacentral:rRNA from 1 species
GAUGAACGCUGGCGGCGUGCCUAAUACAUGCAAGUCGAGCGAAUGGAUUAAGAGCUUGCUCUUAUGAAGUUAGCGGCGGACGGGUGAGUAACACGUGGGUAACCUGCCCAUAAGACUGGGAUAACUCCGGGAAACCGGGGCUAAUACCGGAUAACAUUUUGAACCGCAUGGUUCGAAAUUGAACGGCGGCUUCGGCUGUCACUUAUGGAUGGACCCGCGUCGCAUUAGCUAGUUGGUGAGGUAACGGCACACCAAGGCCACGAUGCGUAGCCGACCUGAGAGGGUGAUCGGCCACACUGGGACUGAGACACGGCCCAGACUCCUACGGGAGGCAGCAGUAGGGAAUCUUCCGCAAUGGACGAAAGUCUGACGGAGCAACGCCGCGUGAGUGAUUAAGGCUUUCGGGUCGUAAAACUCUGUUGUUAGGGAAGAACAAGUGCUAGUUGAAUAAGCUGGCACCUUGACGGUACCUAACCAGAAAGCCACGGCUAACUACGUGCCAGCCGCCGCAGUAA